rnacentral:misc_RNA from 1 species
UUUGGCUGAUUUCUGGUUAACCCUUUUCUUAAUCUGUGGCUCAUAAGAAAGAAGAAGAUGAUGUUGGAGGAAGAUCAUAUAAUAGAAUUACUCUAUCAUUGCUUUGCUGUUCUUUCAUUUUCUAUUCAAGUUUUUCAUUAUUUGACCAAACGAAUACAACUGAAACCAAUUGGGUUUAUUUGAAAUUUUAAUAAUUUCUUUGUUUUCACUUCAUUUUGUUGUUACCAACCUUCAAGUGGGUCUCUUUGUCUUUUGUUUGCUUCCUCCAAUUACUUUCUUCAAUCUCAAGUUAGGGUUUUUAACUCCAGGUCUGGAACCCUCCCCUUUAUUUAUCUCUAGUCAGACUUCACCAACUGUGCAAAUAGAUCAACCUUUUGUUUGUUAUGUCAUAGCAAUCCAAAGAAAACCCACUUUUUACACACCUUUGUUAGUUGCUUUUUUGCCUUUGUCACAUAACCCACAAAGAAAGAAAGCAAGAAACCAACCAAAACAGUGAUUCUUUGAAAUUUUUUAUUUUUUUCUGUUCAUGGGUUAAAAUAAAACUUCAACAUUUAUCAGAAUGAGUUAAAAGACUGGUUGGUUGAUUCACAGGUGGGUGAAGUGGGAGAAUUAUCGGAGAUAUUUCAGUGGAAAGGAGAGGUACCCAAGGGACUACCUGAUUGGAAAGAAGAGGAGAAGGUGCACCUUGGGGAAGAGCUGUCCGAUGUUCUGCUGUAUCUUGUACGACUCUCUGAUAUCUGUGGAAUUGACUUAGGCAAAGCCGCUAUGAGAAAAGUAGAAUUGAAUGCUAUUAAGUACCCAGUAGGCAUGUGCAAAGGGUCUUCCAAGAAACACAACAACAACAGUAACAGUAAUAAUGGCACUGAGAAAUGAGAAAGGAGACCAGUUGAUUGAAUUCUUUUUGGCCUGCUGCCAUGAAACAUGCCCAUAGCUUGAAGACUUUCUAGGUCUUUUUGUUCAGCUUGUCUUUGUUUGGGAAAUGGACAAGUGUUUUAGGUAAUUACUAGGUGUUUUUGAUGAUAGGGUAUUGGGUAAUAGGGGGUUAGAUUAGAGGUAGCAACUAGCAAGCAGGCGUAGGAGCGAGUGACUGCAUGGUGACUAUAUGGGGGUUGUGUUUUGGCAUUUAUUCUUGCAGACUUUAUUUACUAUUUGAGCAGCUGAAUGAAAUCCAUUCGACAGAUGUGGUAGUGAUAUGAUCUUAAGAUGUAUUUUGCUUUAAUAGGCUUGUGCCUUUUAGCUCUUUAAUUCCAUUUUAUUUUUGGGCUUUUCAAUGCCUUUUGGAUGUAAAUCGAAACCAAGAAGGCAAAAUUCAAUAUGGAGCUGUUAUGGGUCAUGGGUUAACAACCUUAAUUAAAUCUUGACCAAUCUCAAACCAAUUUCAUUUUGU